rnacentral:rRNA from 1 species
GCCAGCAACCAUUAUCACCCUGCAGCCCAAGACUGGUUGCCCACUGAAGCUAAGCAGGGUUGAGCCAGGUCAGUACCUGGAUGGGAGACCUCCUGGGAAAAAGUAGGUUGCAGCUGGAA